rnacentral:rRNA from 1 species
AGAGUUUGAUCCUGGCUCAGAUUGAACGCUGGCGGCAUGCCUUACGCAUGCAAGUCGAACGGCAGCACGGAGCUUGCUCUGGUGGCGAGUGGCGAACGGGUGAGUAAUAUAUCGGAACGUACCCUAGAGUGGGGGAUAACGUAGCGAAAGUUACGCUAAUACCGCAUACGAUCUACGGAUGAAAGUGGGGGAUCGCAAGACCUCAUGCUCAUGGAGCGGCCGAUAUCUGAUUAGCUAGUUGGUAGGGUAAAAGCCUACCAAGGCAUCGAUCAGUAGCUGGUCUGAGAGGACGACCAGCCACACUGGAACUGAGACACGGUCCAGACUCCUACGGGAGGCAGCAGUGGGGAAUUUUGGACAAUGGGCGAAAGCCUGAUCCAGCAAUGCCGCGUGAGUGAAGAAGGCCUUCGGGUUGUAAAGCUCUUUUGUCAGGGAAGAAACGGUUGUCUCUAAUACAGAUGGCUAAUGACGGUACCUGAAGAAUAAGCACCGGCUAACUACGUGCCAGCAGCCGCGGU